rnacentral:rRNA from 1 species
AUUGAACGCUGGCGGCAGGCCUAACACAUGCAAGUCGAGCGGAUGAAGGGAGCUUGCUCCUGGAUUCAGCGGCGGACGGGUGAGUAAUGCCUAGGAAUCUGCCUGGUAGUGGGGGAUAACGUCCGGAAACGGGCGCUAAUACCGCAUACGUCCUGAGGGAGAAAGUGGGGGAUCUUCGGACCUCACGCUAUCAGAUGAGCCUAGGUCGGAUUAGCUAGUUGGUGGGGUAAAGGCCUACCAAGGCGACGAUCCGUAACUGGUCUGAGAGGAUGAUCAGUCACACUGGAACUGAGACACGGUCCAGACUCCUACGGGAGGCAGCAGGGGGGAAUAUUGGACAAUGGGCGAAAGCCUGAUCCAGCCAUGCCGCGUGGGUGAAGAAGGUCUUCGGAUUGUAAAGCACUUUAAGUUGGGAGGAAGGCAGUAAGUUAAUACCUUGCUGUUUUGACGUUACCAACAGAAUAAGCACCGGCUAACUUCGUG